GAUGAACGCUGCGGCGUGCGUAACACAUGCAAGUUGAACGACGAUGCCAUGAAGUGGUAACACGGAGUGGUAUACGGAGUAGCGGACGGGUGAGUAAAGCAUGAGAAUCUGUCCUGCCGAGGGGGAUAACGUUCGGAAACGGACCCUAAUACCCCAUAGUCCGAGAGGUUAAAGCGGAGACGCGCGGCAGGAGGAGCUCGUGUCCUAUCAGCUAGUUGGUGAGGUAAGGGCUCACCAAGGCUUCGACGGGUAGCCGGCCUGAGAGGGUGACCGGCCACACUGGAACUGAGAAACGGUCCAGACUCCUACGGGAGGCAGCAGUGGGGAAUAUUGGGCAAUGGGAGGAAUCCUGACCCAGCGACGCCGCGUGAACGAAGACGGCUUUCGGGUUGUAAAGUUCUUUUAUGUGGAAGAAUUAAGUGACGGUACCACAUAAUUA
rnacentral:rRNA from 1 species